UACGAAGGGGGGCUAGCGUUGCUCGGAAUCACUGGGCGUAAAGCGCACGUAGGCGGAUUGUUAAGUCAGGGGUGAAAUCCUGGAGCUCAACUCCAGAACUGCCUUUGAUACUGGCGAUCUCGAGUCCGGGAGAGGUGAGUGGAACUGCGAGUGUAGAGGUGAAAUUCGUAGAUAUUCGCAAGAACACCAGUGGCGAAGGCGGCUCACUGGCCCGGGUACUGACGCUGAGGCACGAAGGUCAGGGGAGCAAACGGGG
rnacentral:rRNA from 1 species